rnacentral:rRNA from 1 species
GACGAACGCUGGCGGCGUGCUUAACACAUGCAAGUCGAACGGUAAGGCCCUUCGGGGUACACGAGUGGCGAACGGGUGAGUAACACGUGGGUGACCUGCCCCUUCACUCUGGGAUAAGCCUGGGAAACUGGGUCUAAUACCGGAUAUUCACCGAUUCUCGCAUGGGGAUGGGUGGAAAGCUAGUUGCUUUUGGUGACUGGGUGGUGGGGGAUGGGCCCGCGGCCUAUCAGGUGGUUGGUGGGGUGAUGGCUUACCAAGGCGACGACGGGUAGCCGGCCUGAGAGGGCGACCGGCCACACUGGGACUGAGACACGGCCCAGACUCCUACGGGAGGCAGCAGUGGGGAAUAUUGCGCAAUGGGCGAAAGCCUGACGCAGCGACGCCGCGUGGGGGAAGAAGGCCUUCGGGUUGUAAACCUCUUUCAGGAGGGACGAAGCCACUCGGGUGAAUAGCCCAGAGGGUGACGGUACCUCCAGAAGAAGCCCCGGCUAAC